AUGCAAGUCGAACGCUCGUAGCAAUACGAGAGUGGCAGACGGGUGAGUAACACGUGGGAACCUUCCCUAUGGUUCGGAAUAGCCCAGGGAAACUUGGGGUAAUACCGGAUAAGCCCUUACGGGGAAAGAUUUAUCGCCAUUGGAUGGGCCCGCGUCGGAUUAGCUAGUUGGUGGGGUAACGGCUCACCAAGGCGACGAUCCGUAGCUGGUCUGAGAGGAUGAUCAGCCACACUGGGACUGAGACACGGCCCAGACUCCUACGGGAGGCAGCAGUGGGGAAUAUUGGACAAUGGGCGCAAGCCUGAUCCAGCCAUGCCGCGUGAGUGACGAAGGCCUUAGGGUUGUAAAGCUCUUUUGGCGGGGAAGAUAAUGACGGUACCCGCAGAAUAAGCUCCGGCUAACUUCGUGCCAGCAGCCGCGGUAAUACGAAGGGAGCUAGCGUUGUUCGGAAUCACUGGGCGUAAAGCGCACGUAGGCGGAUGUGUCAGUCAGGGGUGAAAUCCCGGAGCUCAACUUCGGAACUGCCUUUGAUACAGCACGUCUUGAGUCCGGAAGAGGUGGGUGGAAUUCCUAGUGUAGAGGUGAAAUUCGUAGAUAUUAGGAAGAACACCGGUGGCGAAG
rnacentral:rRNA from 1 species